UCAGUAACUGGUGUGAGAGCACGACCAGUCACACGGGCACUGAGACACGGGCCCGACUCCUACGGGAGGCAGCAGUAAGGAAUAUUGGUCAAUGGACGCAAGUCUGAACCAGCCAUGCCGCGUGAAGGAUGAAGGCCCUCUGGGUUGUAAACUUCUUUUAUAGGGGACGAAAAAGGAUCAUUCCUGAUCACUUGACGGUACCCUAGGAAUAAGCACCGGCUAACUCCGUGCCAGCAGCCGCGGUAAUACGGAGGGUGCAAGCGUUAUCCGGAUUUACUGGGUUUAAAGGGUGCGUAGGUGGGCAGGUAAGCCAGUGGUGAAAUCUUCGAGCUUAACUCGGAAACUGCCAUUGAUACUAUCUGUCUUGAAUUAUCUGGAGGUAAGCGGAAUAUGUCAUGUAGCGGUGAAAUGCUUAGAGAUGACAUAGAACACCCAUUGCGAAGGCAGCUUACUACGGAUUGAUUGACACUGAGGCACGAAAGCGUGGGGAUCAAACAGGAUUAGAUACCCUGGUAGUCCACGCCCUAAACGAUGGAUACUCGACAUCAGCGAUACACUGUUGGUGUCUGAGCGAAAGCAUUA
rnacentral:rRNA from 1 species